AGACGAGGUGGCUGAGUGGUUAAGGCGAUGGAAUGCUAAUCCUUUAGGCUCUGCCUGCGUGGGUUCGAAUCCCGUCCGUUUU